rfam:Clostridiales sp. SM4/1 draft genome.
AUACAAAGUAGAGGUUGCGUCGAUCAUCAGUAGCCGGCCGGAUGUUGCAGGAACAGAGGAAGGCCGAUGAAAGGGAGAGACGCCGAAGAUUCAUGCAGAACUGCCUGCGUGCUUCUGGGCAUAUGGUGAAGAACCAUAUGACUAUCAUCUGUGCAGGAUGGGGAGCUACGAAAGAA